UAUGAUUAAGAAGAAUUAAUCUUAUAUAUAGAUUUACAAUCUAUCGCCUAAAUU
rnacentral:tRNA from 1 species